UAACCUGCGCGAAGCUAUCAAACCGUAGCAACUGCAGCGCUUUCUGGUUGCUAAGCGACCUUUACCGCCAUCCAAGUUGGGUCAUCGCUCGCGGGGACUGAGCCAUACAUGUCCUCCUUGUUUGUCUAAAACUUCCUCUGUACUGCAGCCAGAGUUAUCUUUAAAAACGUCAAUAUAAAGAGCCCGGUGUGGUGGCGCCCGCCUGUAAUCCCAGCACUGGACAGGAUGAGGCAGGAGGAUCACUGCGAGUUCAAGGCCAGCCUGAACUGCAGAGUGAGACCCUGUCUCAAAAAGACAAAAAACAGCAAACGCCAAUAUACCCAGAUGUGUUCGUGUCAACCUGCAAUCCCAGCACUCCAGAGGCUGAGACAGAGGAUCUCAAAUUCAAACCCAGCCCAGGACACAGAGGUCAGGGAAGUUGUCCAAAGUCACACAACUCAUGUGACACAGAGCUGGCACCCAGCUCCAGCGCCCAUGAUCCUGGGCCAGGGAUAUAGCUCAGUGGCAUAAGCGCCUGCCUGGCAAGCACAAGGUCCAGAGUUCGAUUCCUGGUACCAAAAAAAGAAACCAGAGCCCGUGAUCCUGAGGCCCAGAGAAACGACACAGUGACACAGGAGCUUCAGGAACUGCAGGCUUGCAACAAUGAUGCCCUGGCAGGAUGGUUUCCUUGCUGUGAAGCCAGGACAGGCCCCUCUAUUAAUUCCCCCCAGCGCUCCAGGGCGCAUUGGAAGCGCUUUCCAAAACCACCCUGGCGACUUGGUCCACAGCCUCCGUGACAGCAGAGGACGUCUCUAUCGGGGGACCACAUGGCCUUUGGGCCCAGCCCAGUGCCUGGCACAGAGCCAUGCUUGCAAACCUGAGCCAUGUGAAUGGACAAAGCAUAGCCAAUGAUGGCUGAGGGUCACAGCAAGAGGGAACUGAUCAAAGCCGGAAGAGAGGGCUGGACGGCUCGGGCUCCCACGCCACAUACUGCACAGGACAGGACGGGGAGCCUCCCAGCGCCUCUGGCCACUCUGCGGGAGGGGGCUAAGGACAGAAUGGGCCUCAACGGGCUCUAUCAGCAGAGCACUGGCCUUGGGAAAGAACAUGAGGUACAUCAUGCAACAGAAAAGCACGAAGCCAUAUCAAAGAAUAAGAAUGCUUUUGUUCCCUGUACUCAGGAUUAAAAACAGAGCCAUUCCACUGA